GACGAACGCUGGCGGCGUGCCUAAUACAUGCAAGUUGAGCGCUGAAGGUUGGUACUUGUACCAACUGGAUGAGCAGCGAACGGGUGAGUAACGCGUGGGGAAUCUGCCUUUGAGCGGGGGACAACAUUUGGAAACGAAUGCUAAUACCGCAUAAAAACUUUAAACACAAGUUUUAAGCUUAAAAAAUCAAUUUCCUCCACCAAAGAUUAUUCCCCGUUGUAUUAGCUAGUUGGGGAGGUAAAGGCCCACCAAGGCGAGGAUACCUAGCCGACCCGAGAGGGUGAUCGGCCACAUUGGGACUGAGACACGGCCCAAACUCCUACGGGAGGCAGCAGUAGGGAAUCUUCGGCAAGAGACGAAAGUCUGACCGAGCAACGCCGCGUGAGUGAAGAAGGUUUUCGGAUCGUAAAACUCUGUUGGUAGAGAAGAACGUUGGUGAGAGUGGAAAGCUCAUCAAGUGACGGUAACUACCCAGAAAGGGACGGCUAACUACGUG
rnacentral:rRNA from 1 species